rnacentral:misc_RNA from 1 species
GUUAUUGUCCCUUUCGCUUUCUGCGUGAUUAAGAAGAAAUGGCAGAAGCUGUGCUCUAUAACAUUGCAUCGGAAAUCAUAAACAAGUUAGGAUCUCUGGCUCUUGUUGAGACUGGGAGGUGGAGGAAUCUUGAAGUUGAUCUUGAAAGCCUCAAGAACGCAGUUUCUACCAUCCAAGCCGUGCUUCUUGAUGCAGACAGGAAGUUCUCACUGAAUCAACAAGUCGAGGUUUGGCUUCGAGGAUUGAAAGAAGCAAUUUACGAUGCAGAUGACUUGUUGGAUGAUUUUGCCACAGAUGGAUUGUCGGGGCAAGCGAAGAGUGAAGAUAAGAAUUCUGCAAAGGAGUUAACAAGGACUCAACAAAAGGGAAAGAAAUACUGAGUCAGGACCAGGAGACAAAUAUCAGAGGUAGAGAGACAGACAGGGCAGCAGACUAGGCUGCAUAUACAUCCAGCGAGGGAUUACUUGGUAUAAUGAGUAUACCAGUAUUUUGCAUUUCGUACUGUAACGUAUGACACUGUAUGUACAUUU